ACACGGCCGACGCGGGUCAAAGUAUGGUAUCUGUUCUUAUCAGCUUAGUUACUGAUACCGGUUCGACUUGAGCCCAAGAUGUUAAACUUAUUUUUGCAAGUUGGCGGAGUGCUUUAAGCCUGCUCCACCUCCGCCGCGGGUCGGCACGGUAUUGCACUGUCUUUGCACUGUCUGGUGGGAUCGGCCCAUUGUUC